AUAGUCACCCACCAUUGCAUAACCGCGAAAUAUCCUAAUUCUAGAUCUGAUCAUUUCACUGAUGGUACAACAUGCUUCUAUAAUUAUAAAACACAAAAUACAAAUAUAAAUUCAUAAUCAGUUCCAAUACAAAUUCCAACGAUUCAAACACAAUCAAAAUGAGGUAUAGCCCACUUUCAGCAACUUAAGCAUAGAAAAAAAAA
rnacentral:misc_RNA from 1 species